AGCUAAGAGAUUGCGGCAUUCAAAGAUCCCCCGGCUGUAUCAAGGGAAGAUUUGACAUGACAAGACAAUCAUUCGCGUUGAUAAGAUGCAUUAUCAGCGGGGAAGACGAAGAUGAAGAUCCGCAACAGCAAAUGAAAAGUGUUGAACAAGUCUACGAUAUGAUAACCUAAUUUUCCUGCCGGUAAAGAGGCGAAAAAGAAAAGAGAUUUUAUUACAAAAUUAUUAAACGGGCAAAACAGAGAGAGACUCUUCCUUCCAGUGAAACCGAAAAGCGAACGAAUCGAAAGUAAAAUAAAACAAAAAAAAAAAGAUUUCUCAAAACGGGGCGUUCAUAUGUUUCAACGACAUCCGAGGGCGUGGCAUACGCCCAAAUAAACUGGCAAACAAACAAUAAACAACUGAAAGAGCGACGACUUACACGCAAUCCCAGGCAUUCGGCAACUCGGGGCGAAAUACUGCGGCUCACGGCUCGAAAUCUGUGGUGAUCUUUGAUGCGAAGAAACCUGCGCCUGGACUGGAGGGCCCUGGCCCUGCUGGGCGCCCUCCUCUCGCUCAUCAUCGCCUGGCCGGGCCUGGUCUUUGCGAUGCCCGCGAUGGAGACACUACCAGCUGCAUCCGCAUCCUCAUCCCCUUACCCAGCCAGCAGCAUGAACAAUAGUAAUAGUUAUAUACAAAGUGAUCAUAGUCGUAGUAGUUUAGUGGCAAGCGUAGUCGUGAGUGAACGUAAUGUAAAUCAAUCCACAAAUCAAAGUAUUAAUGCUGAAUUUAAUCAGAGCUUAAGCACGCAAUUAACUGCCAUAGUAACCACAGCAAGCACACCUCCCCAAUCAUCAUCCCCCACAUGGGAUAUCGAGAGCUCCACAGAGCCAGACUCCGCAGGAGAGCAGGAGCAGCUGGAGAAGGAUGAGCCCCUGGGCUUUGUCAUCUCGGCAGUGCCGAGUCAGCAUCUGGCUGUCCUGUCUCGCACCGAGCGCAGCAUUCGUCACCAGCAUCAGCAGCAGCAGCAGCAGAAGAAGCAUCCGCAUCAGCAUCACCUCCAGCAUCAGCAGCAGCAUCAGCAGCACGCACAUCCUCAUCACCAGCAAGAGUCGCCGACUGGCAAUAAUUUCAUUGGUUCGAAAUCGAAAAGACUGAGCAACCCUAGAAGUAAUCUAAGCAUAAAUAGCAGUAGCAGUAACACUCCUCCCAUCAGCAAUCUGGAUCGUAACGAACGCUCCACCGUGCCCCAGUCCCAUUUGGACUGGUCAUCCCGCAAAAUACGGUUGUAUAUCAAAAAUCAUAUGCUGCAGGUGAUGCGAGAUGGAACCGUCAUUGGGAUUCAGGAUGAGAACAGUGAAUUUACGAUUCUCCAGCGAUCCACCGUGGAUGUGGGACGCAUCAAGCUGCAGAGUGUGGCCACCUGCCUGUAUCUGUGCAUGGACGCGUGCGGCGUUGCCUAUGGCUCGAAAGACUUCACCGACGACUGUGUCUUCAACGAGAACAUGGGUCUGCAGAACUACAACACAUACUCCUCCACCUACAACUCGAACGCGCGGCGGGUCUUCUACCUGGCCCUCAAUGGCAAGGGUGAACUGCGUCGCACCCAGAUCUCGGCCAGCCGAUCGCUGCGGAAGCUGAGCACCUACACCAAUGCCAUCACGGAGACGGUGCCGCAGGAUCGGGUGGAGCAGCUGAUCGCCAAGAAUUUUGGGGCCAAUCGCGUCAAGCACGGCGUACGCCAACUCUGUGAUACGGGCAAGCCGCUGAUACCGCUGAUCGAUGUGGCCCACUUUAAGGCGCCGCCGCAGUGCAGCGGAAGCGGAAGUGGGAGUGGAAGUGGAAGCGGAAGUAGUAGUAGUAGUAGCAGUGGUAGUAGCAGCAGCAGCAGCAGCAGUGCCAGCAGCCUGAUUAGUAUUAGUAACAGUAGUCAAAGCGAGAGCGGCCAUAUUAGCAGUAGCCUUAGCAGUAGCAGUACCAUUAGUAGCACCCUUAGCAGUACCCCUAGCAGUAGCAAGGACAAGAAGAAGCGGCGCAAGUGCCGGCCCCAUGAGCAGGAGGAUCUGCACCAGUGCCAGAAGCGGCCAGCAGCUGGAGCGGGUAACCUGCGGAAGCUGGGUCCCAAGGCCCAGCUGUGCAAGGAGCUGCGCGCGAAGGCGGCCGCCGAGGGAGGACCGCCGCCCAACUGUGGCAAGAAGAAUGGUGGCAAGAAGCAGUCAGGUGCAGGUCCUAGCCCAGCAGAGGGCAAGGGCUUGCAGCACCAGCGGGGCAAGGGCAACAUCCAGCCGGGUGGCAAGCGGAAAGGCAACAAGGCCGGAAAGCAGCGGCAGAAUGGUGGCAAGAAGCAGCAACAGCAACAGCAGAGGCAACACCAAGCCAAAGCUGUUGCCGGUGGCAAGCGCAAGCAGCGAAAGCAAGAUCUUUUGUCCACCAGCAGCACCACCACCAUGGCCACCAGCCUGGCCACGCCGCCGGAGAGUCACUGGGAGAGCAGCUCACCCCUGCCUGCAUUGGCUCUCAGUGAAACCAGCGAUCGGGUGGAGCGCAAUGUGCGCCUGGCCAGCGGCGAGGAUCUGGAGCAGGAUGGUGAGCAGGAGCCCGAGGAUCCCGAGGACACCGACACCGAUGGCGGCUCCAUGGAGGAUGCCAGCUACGAGGAUGCCACCUCCGAGGCGCAGGGACGCAGCGGAGCAGUUGGGGAUGAUUCGCUCUACUACGAUUUCGGACUGUUGUCUCCCCGGCGAUGAUGCGAACCCCCUUAAAGACGAUGAAUAUCGAAUGUAUUACGACGGAGUCUCGAGUAUUUUAUAAGAACCUCUCAACCCAUUGGAAUAUAUAAAUAUAUAUAUAAUCGAAAUGUAUGAUAAAAUGCACGCACGUCCAUCCCAAUCACAAUUAUAUAGAUGUAAAAUAUCGAAAAAUGCCAUAACCUUAUGAAAAAGAGUCUAUUGAAAUACUUGAGUCUCUGCAGCGGAAAUUUCACGUUGAUGAAAAUACUCAGAAAUACGAUCACUCCGAAACAAACUCCAACAGAUAGAAACUGAAAACUUGCAAAGAGCUAUUCCCAAUGUUAAUAAAAAACAAAGCGAAGAAAAUUCGAAUAUGUUACCCGAUUUGUCUGAAAAUUGUUUGGAUAAGAAUUUUUGAAAAUCAAGGUUUUGGCAAACAAUCUUUUGACAAAAUGCAGAUACACGGUUUAGUCGUAAGAUACAGUUUUUUAUCUUUGUAUUAUCGAACCUCGCUGCUUCUCAGUGCUUAGCCUAAGCUCUGUAAAUCAAUUUUGAAUAAGAACUUUCCCAAGGGAAACCCCCAAUCGAAACUAUGAAGCCAACGAUACAUCGAAAAGAAAGCAACUAUUAUGAAUUAGAAACCAGAGAAAGGAUUCAGAAAUCAAAACAUUGUAUUUUUACUUACAGAUACUUAUGCAACUAACAUGUAAUAUUAAUUUAUUUAAUUUAAUUUCGACGAGAGAUAAGCGUGAAAUUAUAGAUUGUAGCCUGUACUAUUUGAGUUAUUUAUUUAUUUGAAAAUAUUUAUUUAUAAAACUACAAUUAAGAUGACUCUAGGCCUUAGACUAACAAAACUCUGUUAUAAUUGCAUUAUACAAACAUUUUCCAGAUAACUUGAUCCUGCAGAUGAUCACCUGGGCUUUCCUC